CCCCCGGCCGCUCUGGGGAAGCAUGUGGCGGCAGGGCUGCUUAGGAGCCGGGCGUACCUGUGUGAGAGGCCAGGGCAGGCACGGCUGUCUCAGACGAGGCCUCCCUGGGCCCUGGCCCAGCCAACCCCCAGCUGACCAUGGCCAACCAGGCCAGCGCAGGCUGCCCUGCUUACUGGCAGAGCGUGAGUGAGCGGAAUGGUGGUGGUACCACUGCGUUUGGGGAGAGUUGGUUAUUCCUCGGUGGGUAACCCCGCAGCAGCUGGUAUUUCCUCCAGACAGAUGAGUGUGUGUCAUCAGCACACUUGUACAAAAAUGUUCAGAGGUGCUGGAUUUGGAACAUCCUGAAACUGGAGAAACGUUCCCCCGUGGGUGUGUGGGUAAACACUCGGACCAUCCUACCACAGAACGCUACAGCAGGCAGAAGGAAAGAGCCCCCUCACCCCGACACAGCCACACGGAUGGGUCCACAACAAACGUGCUGAUUGGAAGACGCCGGUGUCACCAGGAAGCUUUCGAAGUGAUACAUGUCACUCUCCCGGUUUUGGUGAUGGCUUCAUGGUGUGCACAUGUGCCAAAACGUCUCAAUUGCUCACCUUAAAUGUGUAAUUUGUUGCCUGUGAGUUAUACCUCUAUAAAUUAUUCCUGUUUUAGAAAUAACUUUUCUAAAACCAAAAGAGUCUGUCAGUGAUUUCUGGCUCUGUUCAGGGCCAGGGCCGGGCUUGCUGCCUGAUUUCUGCCAGCAACUUCAAUGAGAUGGUAACGGGCGUGGGAAAGCCUCCUGGGUUGUAAGGCGAUUUCUAAGUGUAUGUAAUUUCCCAUGUCCCUGGAUAAUGUGUCAUGCCAACAGCACAGUUUGAGUCAGUAGUCCUUUCUUAGGGACCACAGAUUCACCUACAGCUUUCCUCUUGGUGAAGUCCAGAAAGUAACUUCCUAAAAGCAAGUUACUUGGUUUUAUUUUUAGCUUUUUAUUGAAGUACUAGAGGCCCCAUGCACAAAAGUCUUGCAAAAGUAGGCCUUCCUUCCCUGGGCUGCCGGCCCCUGCUCCCCUCUGGCACCUGGGACCCGG